rnacentral:rRNA from 1 species
AUGACUUGGCUGGCUCUCUUCUCGGCUUCCAGAUAUGUCACGGUUGGCAAUGGUCAGCACACCAGUUUCUGGUGUGAUCAAUGGCUUGAUGGGCAGGUUCUGCGCUACUCUGCUCCUGACAUCUUCAAGCUCUCUAAGUGCAAGAACAUUUCUGUUGCACACACACUUACAGAUCAUGGUUGGAUGUUUGGGCUGCAAAGGAUGUCAGUGAUUUCUGAGCUUCGACAACUCACACAAGUCUGGCUACGUCUGAAGCAGGUAUCAUUCCAACCAGAUACUGAGGACACCAUUAGCUGGGUCUGGAACCCCUCCCAGGUGUACACGGCUGCAUCCUCGUACCACUGCCAGUUUCUUUGUUCCUUCUACCACUUACCAUUUGAUAAGCUUUGGAAGGCCCCGGUUCCUGCCAAGUGUCGUUUCUUCAUGUGGCUGUGGCUUCGGGGAAGAAUCCAAACAAAUGACAAUCUGGAGAUUCAUGGCAUUCCCUGUAAUGAUGCAUGCAACCUAUGUGAUCAAGAAGAUGAAUCCCCUUUGCACCUUAUUCUGAAAUGCUCCUAUGCUAGAACAGUUUGGCAGCAGGUUGCGAACUGGAGUGACACCCCUGCUUUGGCCACUCAUGCCCAAGAAACUGAGUCCAUCAUGGAGUGGUCAAACGAGCACACCUGCAACUUGCCCAAGAAACAUGUAUCCACUGCAAUCUACACUGCAUGGAAUCUAUGGAAAGAGUGUAACAGUAUAUUGCAACCGACUUUCUCCUUCUGCUGGACAGCCGAUGUUCAAAAAGCACCGGAACCUGAGCCUGACUAG